CGCCCCCAAGGGAUGUGGGGGCGGGCGCAAAGCAUCCCGGGAAGAGCCUUUACCCCGGAGGUUCCGCCCAACGCUUGCCGGUUAAUUCUUCUAAACGGUUAUUGACUGACUGUUAGCUACCUGCGGUACUCCAGGCCAGUAGUGAGGAAGAUAGAGAAGGUCCUGGUACUUAGGGGACCUAGAUAGUAGCCCAAGAUUACGAAGAGAGUUGUGAUGGAGAACGUGAGGUUGCUAAUCCCGUCUUGGGAGGGUCAAGGAAGGCCUCCCAGAAAGACCCGGCUUUACAGAGCAGUAAGGAAAAAGGAAGGAAGGGUGGGAUGCAACCGUUUUUGAAGAUUUGGGGAUGAAAAGUUCCCAUCCAGAGGCUUUAUGGUUCCUUUCAGAAGUGGGCCAAACAGCCAGUCUGUUGAGGGUGUGGGAAGGGCAGGAGCUUGAGAAAAAUAAAGGAGGUUUGAUACCGUUUUUUGAGUAGAUUGAAAAGAAGCUGACUCAAGGACCAACACUGUAAGCCCCACAAGGGGAGGGAGCCUUGUUUUUCUUAUUCGUGUGUCUCCAAUGUUUGGAACAAUGACUAGAAUACUUUUACCCAAAAACCCCUCUGGUUUCAACUGGAUUUGGACAGUGCAUGGCUGUAGUUUUUCGCACGUGACCUUCUUGCCCUUAGCCUCGUGUCCUAGGACAAAGCCACCGAAAAAACUCAUCCAUUUUUUCCAAGUGACUUUUUGUUGAAGUCUAUUACAUCUGGAGCAAAAAUCAGGGGUUUUGUUUACUAGGGUGUCAGCUAAAUCUGGGAGGGUGCCUGGCUUGGAAGAUCCCUGUUCCUGCCUCCUCUCCUUGAUGCAUUUAAUUUUUGGUUCUCCUUAAGUUCCUCUCAUCCUUUGGAGCUAAAUUCUUUAUUUUUUUUGCUUUUCCUUGGGGCCUGAAACUUAGGAACACAGGGCUUCUACUGAGACCUAGGCUGCCCGAGAGCUUGGGAAUUCCUUGGCUUUGACUAUCUCUCUGUACUGUAAUCUUUGAAAAGCUAUCUAAAUUCAUCUCAGUUGUCAUAUUCCUAAAGUGGAAACUCAACUUAGAGAAGAUACCAUCCUUCUUUGGAGCUUCUGGACAGCAUAGCUAAGGAAAGAGUGGCUGCUUGCUUCCACAUGUCUGGUCACAGGCUCUCUUCAGAGACAGGACCCGAUGGCUGAAAGGAAAAAGCUCCUCCUGCUGGAAAUCAGUGUGAGAAGUUACUAGAUCAGAUAUCAGAGGAAGACUGUGGUUGAACUUCAGUGAGGACUUUACCAGGUACUGUUAACAACUAACACAAAAGUAAUUCCAAGUCAACAGACACAAAGUACUUGAAAGUCUGUCCUAAAACCUCAGAGGAAUCGGAGGAAUCAUCCCAAAGCAGAUAACUGCAGGAAGUGUCGCCUCCCAGAGACCCACCAGACAAGAUCACCAGAGCCGCAAAUUGCCUUUUGCUCUUUUUCUUUGAGCUUUCCUCUCUGCCAAGUUAAGGUUUAAAUUGUUGACACUUCUUAUCUAUGAACUAUGAUACUUUGAAGGUCUUUAUCCUUAAUACUGUUUUCUUUUUUUUUUUUUCCCCAAUUGCUCAUUCCUUGGUGUGAGUCCAAUGCCAGGCUGCAGUUUGCUCAUGGUUUGGCAACAGUACGCAAUUACCCUGUCUGCUGGGUUUGUACUCACUUUGCUUCGGGUGCCACCCAGCUUCCUUUACUAUCAAUUUCUUGGAAUUAAUCCACUCAUUUCCUUCCUUGGUGGGUAAGGCUCAGCCAGGAGGUGGGCAGGGGAUGAAAAGUAAGAGGCCAAACAACGAGAAUUUUAAAACCCCCUGUUAUGUCAUACAUAAAAAGGAAGGUUUCAGCCCUAAAUAAAACAAUGCUCCCAAAAACUUUUGUGAAAAUUCGGCUAUUCCAAGCAAAUUUUCACAAAAGUCAGUGAUGGAGGGUAAAAGGCGUGAUAAGGGGGUACUUUGAGAAAACAGGGAAUUCCCUGCAGGUUGAGUGGUUAGGAUGCCACACUUUCACUGCUAAGGGCUGGGAUUCAAUCUGUGGUUGGGGAACUAAGAGACACAAACCACACAGUGCAGCAAAAGAGGAAAAAAAAGAAAACAGAAGACAAUGAGAGGAAACGAGACAGUUAAGAGUUCCACGAGGGAAGAUGGGGCCCCAUAGGCUACUCAGUCAAAAAAGAAAAAGAGAGGUAACUGUGCCUCUGGUGAGGCCCCAAAGAAGGUAGGAGCCGUGGAGUCUGUAGAUGGUCUGGAACUUGGGCCUCUCUGGAAUCCAGUGAGAAGGUAGAAACCAGAGGUACACGGGCUGAGGGAGGGCCUGGUUGCAGGUUUUCUGAGGCUCACUGAGAGGCUGAAGGUAGAGGCUGAGCUGACCUUGCUCAGAGGAAUGGCGGGAGGCCCAGGACUCUGAGGCCGCAUCAUCUGCCAUAGGCUCCCAAAACAGUAGAAUGUCAGCUUCCGUGGCCUCGCCUCUCUACUCACAGUGGGGAUCUUGAUAAAAAUGGUUGUCACAAACUGCCUCUAGCAGAGAGCUUGUCCAAGUGGCUGCAGACGACAAGCUAAAAUCUAGAAAACUGGGAUGGGGGCCUCACCGAGCCAGAAACACCCUCCAUUCCCCCACAUCCCAGACUUCACACUGCUUGUCUCAUUCCUCACACCAAGGCUUUCUUACACAUUUCCUUCUCUGUAGGUUUCCCCUCCAGUAUCAACCCCAGGCUGCACUGAGCUCCAGACUGCAGGAGUCAUCCUAGGAAGAGGGAUAAAGGAAAAGGGGGAGACUAAUCUGUUCACCAGGAAACCUUAUCCUGUGCUCCAGUAGAUUCUUUUCAGUCAGCCUCUCUAGUCUGAGAAUCCAAAAGCCUGGGUUACUUGUGGUGAAGAGAAGAACUAAGUGUUAUUUUAGGAGGCUGAGUGGAAUGAUCCUUUGUGGCAGAGACGUUUCAGAGACUAAGACUUUGAAAACACCAAAUUUAGUAUAUAAAAUUGUCCAUGACAAUAAUAGUAAGGGCUUUCACAGACAUUAUCUCAUGUGAUCCUCACAACAACCCUGUGAGGUAUGGAGGCCAGGAAUUACCUCUGAGGAGGAACCUGAAUUUGGGGGAAGUUAAAUAGCUUGUCCAAAAAUCAGGAUCAAGGAGCUCUGCCUCCUAAACCAAUAGUGGUCCCAGUGUAUCUCACACCACCACCAGUGGGCAAGACUCAUGGUCCAGCUCCAUCAUUCUUUCACUCUGCUUCCUAAUAGAGACUUGCUCUAGGAACUGGCAUGCUCAGAGAUUGUGGAUCUGGGCCUUCAUAGGAAGGUGAGAUUAACACCUCUAGGUAGCCCAGAGUUGACUAGACAAGACCUUACCUUUUAAUGCUAUACGUAUCUUUGUUCCUCUUUUUGACUCUGCACUAAAGUUGAGAGACUAGAGUGAGUGACUAGGACUGAAUUUUCACUUUCUUCUCCCUAUGCAAGCCAUAAACAUUCAUUUAUUCAUGGAUAAUCUGAUUUUCCAUAUUAAGUUACUAAAGCUCUGUGAUCCAUCUCUGUUAGUCACUUUAAAGUGGAUAAAAAUAUUUUCUAGUUUUCCUUUGAAAAUUUCAUGAAGGGUUUUCUGUAUGUCAUGUUCAAUCGAUUUUUUUCAGUCCUUGUCCUUUGCAGAUGAAGGGCACUAAUUUCCAGAACUGCAGGUGCGUGUAUAUUCCUUCACAUGGGACUUGCCCCUGCUCACAGAGGCUCAGCAUCUGAUUCAAGGCUUUCAAAGGCUCACAGGAUUGCUCCCCAUGGCAAAUAGAACAGAAAGGGAAGUCUUGGCCCAGAGACACCUCAGAUGGAACAAAACAGGUGAACAAAAGUUGAAGGACCCUGUCCUCCUACAGGAAUCCUGAACUCAAUAGUCCAAUCCAUGGCCAGUGACUCACUGUGAUCAGGAUUCUACCAUGGAUCCCUCUACCACCCCCAAGAAGGUCUGUGAGCUUCAAGCCCUCCCCUGUUCCCCAUAUUCUAAUCUUCCCUAAGAGUCUCCAUCUUAGGUGUCUCUCUGUCCCAACAUAAUUGAUUUUGAAAAGGAGGAAAAGGUUAAUCUCUGCUGGUGGCUGGCCCUAGGAUUCCUUUGUCAAAUUAAUGUGUCUGUUUUCCUACAUGUUAGUAAACUUUAUUUCUCUAAAUGGUAGAGGAAUGGAAAAAUGGAUCCCAUGCUAUACAGAAAGUAUGAAACGGAAUUAGAACCCCAAGACUCACUGAGAUGCAUUUGAAAGCAGAGUUUAUCUGAAGUGCACCUCAACCUCAGACAGCUGAGGAGCCGUGGGAUAGUGACAGUGUUCUUGAGGGUGGGAGAAGGCCCUUAAUGAGGAAGGUGAACUCACAGUUCCUCUUUACAGCAGCCAGCCUAAUAGCUCCCUCCAGCCUUCCCUGGGUCUUCCAGAUCCUUCCAUCUUUCUAUGUCAUAGAUACACUGUAGCAUUAUUUUCUGUUUAUUCCUCCUCCAGCACUAACUGCGUUGUCCAUUACCUCCUUGGUCACCUGAGCUUUAAUCUUACCAAUUAUAUAGACUUUGAAAACCUGAAGUUCUUCCAGGAAUUUUUGCUAAUUCCCAGAGAUCUGCAUUCUCAGGAUUUCCUGUGUUCUCAGGUUCAGCUUCCUACCUCCCAGGCCAAACAUAAGACACAACUCCACAGUCACUCAUGAGAGUCCACUUUCACAUAAAAGCGUUAGUGAGCAAUGCAGUCUUUACAAAAGACAUUGUAAGAGUGAUGAAUAAGGCUAUGUGUGGGGAGACCGACCUCCUGGCAAACAGCUGUAAGAUAUCUGACUGCUAAAUUAAGCACUGAAUUAUUUCCUUCCCUGAGACAGUCCUAUCCCAGAGCACUCAGUCCUUUCCCAUCCAGAUGAUGAGGUUUUGCUGAACUGGCAGCAAAACUAUCUCUCAAGAAUGAGGGAUAGAUUCUCAGUUAACAUUGCUUCUGAGAUAGCAUUGUUUUUAGGUCCUUUCAAUGAACAGAAAAAGGAAAAAAAAUUAACCAUGAGUUCAUAUUAAUAUGUACAAUUCAAAUGUAACACCAGGUUUUUACUUUGUAUCUCAUUUCUCCCACAAUGAAAACUUUGGAUCUUAGUAACAUUAAUGUUAUUUGUUCUAUCCUACUAUAUGUAUAUCCAUAUAUAUAUAUAAAUGUAAUUUUAAACUUGUAUAAGCAUUCCACCUAAUAAUAAAAUUGAG
ensembl:lncRNA